rnacentral:SRP_RNA from 2 species
GACGGGCCUCCCCGCAUGGUGAAGCGGCCAACCGGGUCAGGUGGGGAACCAAGCAGCCCUAACUGUGGAGCCAGUGCCGGGGGUAAGGCUCGUCACCCUCCC